AGAGUUUGAUCAUGGCUCAGGAUUAACGCUGGCGGCAUGCCUAAUACAUGCAAGUCGAACGAACGAACCUUCGGGUAAGUUAGUGGCGAACGGGUGAGGAACACGUAAGAAACCUGCCUUACAGACGAGGAUAACCAUUGGAAACGAUGGCUAAUACUGGAUAGGAUAUAAAACCACAUGGUUUAAUAUUUAAAGAUGCUUUCGGGCAUUACUGUAUGAUGGUCUUGCGUAGCAUUAGCUAGUUGGUAGGGUAACGGCCUACCAAGGCGACGAUGCUUAGCUGGUCUGAGAGGACGAACAGCCACACUGGGACUGAGACACGGCCCAGACUCCUACGGGAGGCAGCAGUAGGGAAUUUUCGGCAAUGGGCGCAAGCCUGACCGAGCAAUGCCGCGUGAAUGAUGAAGGCCUUCGGGUCGUAAAAUUCUGUUAUCAAGGAAGAACAUACAGUAUAGGAAAUGAUAUUGUACUGACGGUACUUGAUCAGAAAGCUCCGGCUAACUACGUGCCAGCAGCCGCGGUAAUACGUAGGGAGCGAGCGUUAUCCGGAAUUAUUGGGCGUAAAGAGUGCGUAGGCGGUUUUUUAAGUCAAAUGUGAAAGUUCACAGCUUAACUGUGAAAGGUCAUUUGAAACUGGAUUACUUGAGUAUGGCAGAGGUUAGUGGAAUUCAAUGUGUAGCGGUGGAAUGCGUAGAUAUAUUGAGGAACACCAGUGGCGAAGGCGGCUAACUGGACCAGAACUGACGCUGAGGCACGAAAGCGUGGGGAGCAAACAGGAUUAGAUACCCUGGUAGUCCACGCCGUACACGAUGAGAACUAAGUGUUGGG
rnacentral:rRNA from 1 species